GUGCGCUGAACGCGGUUACCGGAAACUGAGUAGAAAGGGGAAGUGUGUGAGAGUAUACGAUUCUAGUUUCUGUUUCUUGACAAAGACGGAGAGACUCUGACAAAACCAAACCAUAUGAGACACUGGCAUCAGAAUAAGGUUUUGAAGAGUCUAACAGUACAUCACUACUAAGAGGCAGUAAAAAUGCGUCGUCAUCGGAGGGAAUCCUUGCAGUUUUCUCCUCCUUCGUUUAACUGUGAGAAUGAGAAAGAGAAAGAGAAACAAGAGCAAGCAUUGCAGGAAAAAGAAGCAGCAUAUGCUGUGUUUGAAUCAGAAAAUGUCCGUCAAAGAAAGAAAACGAGCCAGGAGGAACAAAAACAGGAUGAAAGUGGGGAAAUGAGCCAGAAGAAACAACAGACAACAGCAGACAAAUCUAAAACUAAAGCAGUGUGUCUCGUGUUCUGCUGGUGUGUUCUGCCGGUCAUCAUCAUACUGCUACUCAGCACCAUCACAGGACAGAGAGAGUUAAAGGAUCUCAGGAUAAUAGUGGUUGGUAAAACUGGAGCUGGAAAGAGUGCAUCAGGAAACACCAUCCUGAGAGAAAGGGUGUUUGUAGAAAAAAUGUCUUUUGAAUCUGUGACUAAUAAAUCCCAGAAACAUCAGAAGAAGGUGGAAGGUAGAAGCAUCUCAGUGAUUGACACUCCAGGAAUGUUUGAUACAAAAAUCAGUGAAAAACAGCUGAAGGAUGAGAUUGAGAAAUGUGUCGACAUGUCUGUUCCUGGUCCUCAUGCAUUUCUGCUGGUCAUCAGACUGGACAUUAGAUUCACAGACGAGGAGAAAAAAACAAUGAAAUGGAUUCAGGAGAACUUUGGAGAAAAAGCUGCUAAUUACUCCAUCAUUCUGUUCACUAGAGGAGAUCAGCUAGAUAUACCUAUAGAGGAGUUUCUGGCUGAAAACGGGGAGGUUAAAGAGCUUGUUAAACAGUGUAAAUACAGGUAUCAUGUUUUCAAUAACAAAGAUAAAAAUCCAUCACAGGUUAUUGAACUGCUGGAUAAGAUAGAAACAAUGGUUAUGGAGAAUGGAGGAGAACAUUAUACAAAUGAGAUGUACAAGGAAGUUCAGGAGAGGCAGAGCAAGGAAGAUGAGAAGCAGAGGUUGGAAGAAAAAAAUAUGUUCACGGAAGCUCUGAAGAGGCAGAGAAAGGAAGAGGAGAGACAGAAGUCGGAAAAUAUUGGAAAAAAUAUGUCCUUAGCUUUAUUAUUAUUAUUAUUAUUAUUAUUAUCAGUUGUAGCAGUAGUAUAUUUUAGCUGUAAACAGAGGUGGAUGUAACGAAUUACAGCUACUCAUUUUACUGUAAUUAAGUAGUUUUUUUGGUAAUUAAGUACAAAUGAAGGUAAUCUACUUCGCUACUUGUAAAAUCAUAUUCUGUUACUAAGUACACCUAAAAUUUGAUAUAAAAUUGAUCAUACCUGCAGGUUUCUGUGACAUAUUUUAAUUACUAAAGUCGAGAGCACAUUAUUGUAAUGCGAGAGAACAUUCAUAAUACAAGUGAUUUACAAGUCACUCAGAUAUCGCGCUCUGUGUAGUGUGUAAUCACGAAUCUCUCUGUGCUCUUAAAUGAAACGUUGUCAAAAGUUUGUGGCAAGAGGCAAGGCAAGAGAUCAGAAGAAGAGGGAAUAUUUUCGUGGGCCUUUUGGGUUCAUAGAAAAUGUACAUAUUUUCCCAUAAGAAUGCAAAAUGCUUUGGAAGUAUUCGAUGAGUUUCAUUAAUGUGAACGAAUGAGACACGUGAAGUUAUGUUUCAAGGGACCAUUGUGACCAUUGUCACACAUUUAUUGUGGUGUGUUUGCUUGUUCUAGCUAAUUGUAGUAUACUACUGCUGCUACUAUGUUUACAUUUUGUUCUAAGUUUUCUUUUAUUUCGUUAAAUACCAGGGGGCUUAGAGACAGUAUUAAGAGAAAGGCUAUAUUUGUAUUUUGCAAAAGGCAACAGGCACAGUACAUUUUCUUGCAAGAGACUCAUUCCAGUACAGAAGACUCAAUUUUUUGGAGAAACCAAUGGGGGGAUACCAUUUUGUUUAGCCAUGGAACAAAUAGAUCUGCUGCACUGUAAAAAAUGAUUCUGGGUUUUAGUCAGGUGGACAAAUAAAAUCAUGUCAUGUCAACUUGCAGUGUCUCACUACACAAAAGGAUGAGUUAUACCAACCUCAACUUGAAGGGAAAUUUAAAACUUUAAAUAACGUGUUCAUAUAACAACAAAACAUAAGUUCUGUCAAUGUCCUUUCAAAUGCGCAUGUGCCAGAAUCUUAACGUCAUGAUGACGUACUAUUUUACCGAAUCUGAGACAGACGCGCCAUCCGCCAUUUUCUGCACGAGACGUUGCUGAACAUGCAAGAAAAGAUGAAGAAGGAGCCCGCUUUUGAACGAGUACAGAUGGAGUUUAUGGACUGCAAAUAUUGAAAUGAGAUCAGUACAGUGCAAGCACAGUGGAAGCACAACUCUAUAUCGAUGAGGUGGUGUUGCAAGAUUUGUAGAUUUUCCUCGCCCAACCAGCGUACCCUAAUCACACACUAUAAGCUGAAACACUGCCAUCAGGCAAGUCACUGUCCACUCCCAUGCAUCUAUAAAGAUUGUGUAUGCACAUUUAGGAGUGAACUGUCUCUGAAGAAGCAUUUAACUCGCGACCAUAGUCAGUGUGUUCAAGCCUCCUCAAAAUUUCUUAAAGCAACCUCAAAUGUGAGCUGUGACCUGUGUAAUUAUUCAGAGGCUUGCAGUGUUUCACAGUAUUUUGCACAUCUUAAAACACACAUUAAAAAGAAAGAGUCAGUGAGGUGCCCCUUUCAAGACUGUAGUUUCCAGACCAGUGUGUACAGCACUUUCCAUGCUCAUAAAAGUAAGAAACAUCACCACAGCACUUUGAAAGAUUUUCGAACAGACUUGUAUCAAACUUGCAUUCCUGAUGAUUCAAACCCUGACAGUACAGACUCUCAAAUCCAUUCAUUCAGCCUAGAUUGCUCAACAGUAGAUAGUGACAUAGAUGUCCAAGACCUACAGGAUUUGGUUAAACACAAAGUAGCAUCACUGUUACUUCGCAUGCAAACAACUCUACAUGUCUCAAAAGCCACCACACAGGAAAUUGUAAAUGAGCUUUGCAGUGUUUAUUCAAUUGUGCAAGAGUUCACUCCAAGAAUAAUUGAAAGUGUAUUGGUUAAGCACAAUUGUGUAUUAACCAAUGAAGUGACUGCUGCCUUAGCUGAGAUAGUCGAAAAAACAAAUCCCCUAACUUCCCUUUCAAAGAGUGGCCCGUUUGCAACCGAAUACAAAAGAACCACUUAUUACAAGGACAACUUCAAAGUAAUUGAGCCAGUUGAAUAUUUUUUAGAAUCGUCCUCUCAAAAAAAGUUUGUUUAUAUUCCAAUUUUGAAAGUUUUGACCGAGUUGUUGAACCGUGAUGACAUUUUGGAUAAAGUCCUGCAGGAAACUGCUGACCAGUCCGGUCAGAUUAAGACAUACAGAGAUGGACUGUACUGCAAAGGCAAUCCUUUGCUCUCCUCAGAGAGUUUAAGCAUUGCACUUGGGAUGUAUAUAGAUGACUAUGAGGUAUGUAACCCACUGGGAACAUCAAAAAAAAAGCAUAAGGUCUGUGCAGUGUAUUGGGUGAUAUCAAACUUGCCAGCACAGUAUAGGUCUUCAGUACAGUCAAUUUUUCUGGCUUGUCUGUGUAAUAGCAAUGAUGUAAAGAAUUAUGGCUAUGAUGCCAUUUUUCAACCACUGAUUAGGGACAUUCAAGUCCUUGAAGAGGACGGAUUGUAUGUUCAAAAAUUGGGAACAAGUGUCAAGGGUUCUGUGUUGUAUGUGUCAGCGGACAACUUGGGGGCCCACUCACUAGCUGGCUUUCAAGAAAGUUUCAAUGUUGAUAAAUUCUGCAGAUUUUGCCUAGCUAGUCGCAAGGAUAUUGACUUGCAUGAAGUCAGAGAGGGGGUGUUUCCACUCAGGACGAUUGAAACUCACAAACAGACCCUUGAGGAAUUGAAGACGAAUUCACUGGUUUCUCUGGAUGGAGUAAAGAGAGACUGUGUUCUUGAUAAACUUAAUUAUUUCCAGACAGUGCAAGGGUUUCCUCCAGAUUUUAUGCAUGACCUGUUUGAAGGUAUAGUACCAACAGAGUUAAGUCUUUGCAUAAAGUCCCUUAUUUCCAAAAGGUACUUCACAUUAGAUGACCUUAAUGACAUCAUCAAGUCUUUUCCUUUCAAGUUUACUGAUAAAACUAACAAACCACAACAAAUUUCAAAGACAUUUGUGUCAAAACAUUCAAUUGGUGGAAACUGCCAUGAAAACUGGACUCUGUUAAGGCUACUGCCAUUGAUGAUGGGUCACAGAGUACCAGAAGGAGACAAAAUUUGGCAAAUCAUACUAGAUCUGAAAGAUAUUGUUGAGCUCCUAGCUACUGGACAAUUCACUGAUGAGACACUGUGCUACUUGGAGUCCAAAAUCUCAGAGCACAGGUGCUUGCUGAAAGAGUGUUUUCCAGAUUUCCACAUUCUCCCGAAGCAUCAUUUUUUAGAACAUUAUCCUGAAAUGAUUAGUCGAUUUGGGCCUCUGACUGAUUUUUGGACUAUUCGCUUUGAGGCGAAACACAACUUCUUUAAGAGAGUUGUACAUGAUGGUAAAAACUUCAAGAAUGUCUUGCUCACUCAGGCCAAAAAGCACCAGCUUGCUUUGGCUUACUACCUUGAUUUGCCAAGUGUUUUCAAACCUGAUCUAGAAGUAGGACAUGUUGCUGUCGUUUCACCUGACACACUUGAACGUUCAGUGAGGCAGGCCAUUGAGCAUAAAUAUGGAAACACAAACACUGUAUUUCUUUCAACCCAUGCAUGCAUUAAUGGUACCAAGUACUCGGAGGGAAUGUUUUUGUCUGUAGGGCACACCAGUGGACUGCCUGACUUUGGCGAGAUUGUUAAAAUGAUAAUUGUUAACAACAAAGUGUCAUUCAUCCUCAAACCUUUCAAAGCCUGGUACAUAGAGCAUUUGCGAAGUUAUGAGCUGACGAGUAAUUGCACUUCUGAACUGCAGGUUGUGGAACCCCAGGAGCUUAAUGGAUACCAUCCACUUUAUCCAUAUGUAAGAGCUGGAAAGCUAUACAUCACACCAAAAACCUUCUUGCUUCACUAAGUUGAAGAGAAACCCUGGAAUUUCCUAUUCUUAUAACAAAAUGCUGUUUCGCGUGAUCAUCUCCCCACAGAACAUUCAAAAAGUUAGACUUGAUCCUGUUCCAGAUUCUGUUGAUGGCCUCAAGCUUGAACUUAAAAGCAUGCUCCAGCUGAAAGACCCUUUUGACCUUCAAUAUGAAGAUGAAGAUUUCCAUGAUUUCUGUAACCUUACACAUUUAGCUGAUCUGCCCAAAGACAAGGUGACACUGAAGGUCCUUUUCACCACCUUUCCAGAUACACUCUCAGACUCCAGUUUAGACACUGUAAUUUUAAGUGAAUCAUCAUCUCCAUCAACUUCUUCACCCAGCAUCCAUUCAGAGCCAUCUGCCACCCGUUUGCAGCCAUGGCCAACUGCCUUUCCCAUCCCAGUUUUUACAUAUGAUGUGGAGCUGAGGCUAAGACAUGGUAAUGAGGCAUUUCGAAAGGAUGGAACACUUCUGUCAAUUCCCAGGGACAUGAAGAUUGAGAUCCUUGAGAAACUUGCAGAAACCAUAUACUCAUACAAAGCCUACCCUGGGAAUGAAGAGAUUGACAGUGUAGCGGCCGCCUUAAUUGAAAAACACCCCUGUCUUAAAGAGCCAAGCUCCACAUCUGGAUGGUAUGGGUGGAAAAUUAGUUUAAAGUUUAAGAUGGGAAACUACAGACAAAAGCUGAGAGAUGCAGGUUGUCAGGAAUUGAAAGUGAAUUCUGAAAAGAGAGGUCUUGGGGAGACGAGAGGAAAGCGAAACAAAGUGAAGAAACCUAGACGUUGUGAAACAAAUUUUCUUCCAGAUCUACCUCAGGGCAAAGACAAGGAAAAUUUAGAUAAAGAAAGAGAGCAAAUAGCUGAUGAGAUGAAGAAGAGGACUCCAGACAUCACCUUUGUUGAUGCUGCUAUGAGUAGCACAUAUUCUUUGAGAAGACAAGAAGUCGUUGAGGAGGAGCCACCAGUGUCACAAAUGAAAGUCCGAUGGCCUGCACUUUUUACGGAGAGACAGAUCAGCAAAGAAUUCACCAGGCUUGUGUCAAAGGACCUGAGCAAGUCCUUUUUUGAAGGCCUAGAUGGUCAUCUCUCAAAGCUGAUACAGUUAUUCAGGUCAAAGCGUUAUGAGGACAUUCCAGAAAUGACUUCAAUACUGGAGAGCCUUGAUAAGGAUCCCAGUGACCGUGAAGAGGAUCUGAUCAAGGGUGUGGUGAUUGGAAUCCUAGUGGUUGUAGAAAAUGUGAUGGAACCUCUCCCAGCGUUCUACAAUGACGUUGCCUUGGUGAUUGAAGAAGAAGUGGUAAUGCGUCACCUGAGUGACAUACCGAAUGCUUUUCUGAACCUGAUGGGCCUGGUGUACGCGUUGAACCUUGACUACCCAAGGGAAUUAAAAUUCACUUUUGAAGUGAUACAGCGCCUGUUUAUUGGAGUUGGGUCAGAUUCUUGCACCGCAAGAGUUCACUCUUUGAAGAGCAAGUUGCUGCGAUAAGACAGAAAACAAACAAUCUUUUUUUCCUUCUUCCUUCUUACUGUUUAAUCAUUGUACUGUUUUAAAGUUUAAGAGCAUUGUUGUUUUAGAUCUUCUUGUUUUAAGUAUAACAUUGGUAUUCUUGAAAUUUUUCAAACUGACUGUUGUUACCUUGUCCUGCUUCCUAUUUCCUUGUCAUGUUUCUACAAUUGGGAAUUGAAGACAGUGUUUUUGAACAGUUUAAUGUGAAGUUUUUUACACAGCUUAUUGUGAAUUGUUCAUGUACACUUGUUCAAUGAAAAUGUCUCAUAAUGACACGGAGAGUUAUUUGUACUAUUUUGGCUCUAAGAUGGGUCUGUGCAUAGAAGUUUGCACAUGUUUGUGUGAGCUGUGUGUGAGGGUUUUUCUUGUGUUUUAUAUCUAUGCAAGAUAAUUCUUUGUCUGUUUUUGAUGCAAUGUCUCGGUUUAAAAAUAAAUGCUGAGAUUUGA